UGAGCAAUCUGCCCUUCUCAUCGGAAUAAGCGUUGGAAACGACGUCUAAUGCCGAAUACGACCUCCUUUCGCAUGAUCGGAGGUGGAAAGCUCCGGCGGAGAAGAUGAGCUCGCGGCCUAUCAGCUAGUUGGUGUGGGUAAUGGCCCACCAAGGCGACGACGGGUAGCCGGCCUGAGAGGGUGACCGGCCACACUGGGACUGAGACACGGCCCAGACUCCUACGGGAGCAG
rnacentral:rRNA from 1 species